GACAGAGGUGCCGAGCGUUAGGCGGAAUCACUGGGCUUAAAGCGUGUGUAGGCGGAUCUGUAAGUACCUUGUGAAAUCCCACGGCUCAACCGUGGAACUGCUUGGUAUACUGCGGGUCUUGAGCCACCUAGGGGCAAGUGGAACAAACGGUGGAGCGGUGAAAUGCGUAGAUAUCGUUUGGAACGCCGAAGGUGAAAACAGCUCGCUGGGGCUGCGCUGACGCUGAGACACGAAAGCCAGGGGAGCGAACGGG
rnacentral:rRNA from 1 species